rnacentral:rRNA from 1 species
ACCGAACGCUGGCGGCAUGCUUUACACAUGCAAGUCGAACGGUAACGGGGACUUCGGUCUGCCGACGAGUGGCGAACGGGUGAGUAAUAUAUCGGAACGUGCCCAGUAAUGGGGGAUAGCUCGGCGAAAGCCGGAUUAAUACCGCAUACGCCCUGAGGGGGGAAAGUGGGGGAGUCUUCGGACCUCACGUUAUUGGAGCGGCCGAUAUCAGAUUAGCUAGUUGGUGGGGUAAAGGCCUACCAAGGCGACGAUCUGUAGCUGGUCUGAGAGGAUGAUCAGCCACACUGGGACUGAGACACGGCCCAGACUCCUACGGGAGGCAGCAGUGGGGAAUUUUGGACAAUGGGCGAAAGCCUGAUCCAGCCAUGCCGCGUGAGUGAAGAAGGCCUUCGGGUUGUAAGACUCUUUCUAGGUGGAAAGAAAGACGGAUGAGUUAAUA